rnacentral:rRNA from 1 species
CCUACGGGAGGCUGCAGUGGGGAAUAUUGGGCAAUGGGCGCAAGCCUGACCCAGCAACGCCGCGUGAAGGAAGAAGGCUUUCGGGUUGUAAACUUCUUUUAUUGAGGACGAAACAAAUGACGGUACUCAAUGAAUAAGCCACGGCUAACUACGUGCCAGCAGCCGCGGUAAUACGUAGGUGGCAAGCGUUAUCCGGAUUUACUGGGUGUAAAGGGCGUGUAGGCGGGACUGCAAGUCAGAUGUGAAAACGAUGGGCUCAACCCAUGGCCUGCAUUUGAAACUGUAGGUCUGGAGUGGUGGAGAGGCAGGCGGAAUUCGGGGUGUAGCGGUGAAAUGCGUAGAUAUACGGAGGAACACCAGUGGCGAAGGCGGAUUGCUGGACAGUAACUGACGCUGAGGCGCGAAAGCGUGGGGAGCAAACAGGAUUAGAUACCCUGGUAGUC